GCACACGGUGGCACAGUGGUUAGCACUACUGCCUCACAGCAAGAAGGUCACGGGUUCGAUUCCAGCCUGGGGCU